rnacentral:rRNA from 1 species
AGCAGCCGCGGUAAUUCCAGCUCCAAUAGCGUAUAUUAAAGUUGCUGCAGUUAAAAAGCUCGUAGUUGAAUUUCGGGAUCAAUAUGUUGGUCGUGCCUCGGUACGUACUAGCUUAUUGGUUUCUCCCUUCUGACGAACCAUGAUGUCAUUUAUUUGGUGUUAUGGGAAAUCAGGACUGUUACUUUGAAAAAUUAGAGUGUUUAAAGCAGGCUCACGCUUGAAUACAUUAGCAUGGAAUAAUGAAAUAGGACGUUUGAUUCUAUUUUUGUUGGUUUCUAGGAUCGACGUAAUGAUUAAUAGGGAUAGUUGGGGGCAUUAGUAUUCAAUUGUCAGAGGUGAAAUUCUUGGAUUUAUUGAAGACUAACUACUGCGAAAGCAUUUGCCAAGGAUGUUUUCAUUAAUCAAGAACGAAAGUUAGGGGAUCGAAGACGAUCAGAUACCGUCGUAGUCUUAACCAUAAACUAUGCCGACUA